GAUGAACGCUGGCGGCGUGCCUAAUACAUGCCAGUCGAGCGAACAGACCAGGAGCUUGCUCCUCUGACGUUAGCCGCGGACGGGUGAGUCACACGUGGAUCCCCUACCUAUCAGACUGGGAUCACUUCGGGACACCGGCGCUAAUCCCGGAUAAUAUAUUGCACCGCAUGGUUCAAUAGUGAAAGACGGUUUUGCUGUAACUUCUAGAUGGAUCCGCGCCGCAUUAGCUAGUUGGUAAGUUAACGGCUUACCUCGGGAACCGUGCGUAGCCGACCUGAGAGGGUGAUCGGCCACACUGGAACUGAGCCACGGUCCAUACUCCUACGGAAGGCAGCAGUAUGGAAUCUGCCGCAAUGGGCGAAAGCCUGACGGAGCAACGCCGCGUGAGUGAUGAAGGUCUUCGGAUCGUAAAACUCUGUUAUUAGGUAAGAACAAAUGUGUAAGUAACUAUGCACGUCGUGACGGUACCUAAUCAGAAAGCCACGGCUAACUACGUG
rnacentral:rRNA from 1 species